AGAAUGACUCUCGGCAACGGAUAUCUUGGCUCUUGCAUCGAUGAAGAACGUAGCGAAAUGCGAUACUUGGUGUGAAUUGCAGAAUCCCGUGAACCAUCGAGUCUUUGAACGCAAGUUGCGCCCGAAGCCAUCAGGUUGAGGGCACGUCUGCCUGGGCGUCACAU
rnacentral:rRNA from 1 species